GGCCUCUGGAUUGGACUGCGGCCGAUCAGGCUGUUGGUGAGGUAAUGGCCCACCAAACCUGUAACCGGUACGGGCUCUGAGAGGAGGAGCCCGGAGAUGGGCACUGAGACAAGGGCCCAGGCCCUAUGGGGCGCAGCAGGCGCGAAACCUCUGCAAUAGGCGAAAGCCUGACAGGGUUACUCUGAGUGACUUUCGCUAAGAAAGUCUUUUGGCACCUCUAAAAAGGGUGCAGAAUAAGGGGUGGGCAAGUCUGGUGUCAGCCGCCGCGGUAAUACCAGCACCCCGAGUGGUCGGGACGAUUAUUGGGCCUAAAGCAUCCGUAGCCGGUUCUGCAAGUCCUCCGUUAAAUCCAGCUGCUCAACAGAUGGGCCGCGGAGGAUACUACAGAGCUAGGAGGCAGGAGAGGCAAGCGGUACUCAGUGGGUAGGGGUAAAAUCCGUUGGUCCAUUGAAGACCACCAGUGGCGAAGGCGGCUUGCCAGAAUGCGCUCGACGGUGAGGGAUGAAAGCUGGGGGAGCAAACCGGAUUAGAUACCCGGGUAGUCCCAGCCGUAAACGAUGCAGACUCGGUGAUGGGUUGGCUUCGCGCUAACCCAGUG
rnacentral:rRNA from 1 species